UGUGAGAGACACAGCCAGUGUUGCCAGUGUUAAUGCAGUCCUCAGGAGCACUCCAGCCUGUCAACACAACCCCUGGACCGAUGUUAUAUAAAUCUGUUCUACAGACAACAAUGCACUCUGCUAGCCAAAAGUAAUCGCCUUAUCUCUCUAUAGCCCCUGGGACAUCACGCUACCGCACCACACCCAGCGCCACACCUCGAUCAUGUUCUGUCUCAGCGCUCUCUUUCAUUGCAAUUGGAAGAGUAGCAGGUGAUAAAUGGGCAGAGGACACUUGCCUUUGGGACAUGGGUAAAAAGAUGGAGAUAGGAUGGGUGUGAGAGUGCUGAAGUUUAGGUAUGAUUACAAGUAUGUUCAGCUGAAUUAUUGGAUCAGUGUGGUGUUUGAGUUGGGGCAUAACUGGGGAGUUUUCACUUAAACACAUCUAAUGGAAUCCUGCUUAUGGAAUCUACCUACCAUCUCGGGGGUAUUUUAAGGUUUGAUAUAGAACUUGUUUGUCACUCACUUUUCACCUUUUUCUUUCACCAUCAUAAAAAAGAUGCUACCCAUUCCCGUUAGGGAGAGAUGCUACCCCUUCCCGUUGGGGAGAGAUGCUACCCCUUCCCGUUGGGGAGAGAUGCUACUCCUUCCCGUUGGGGAGAGAUGCUACCCCUUCCCGUUGGGGAGAGAUGCUACCCCUUCCCGUUGGGGAGAGAUGCUACCCCUUCCCGUUGGGGAGAGAUGCUACCCCUUCCCGUUGGGGAGAGAUGCUACCCCUUCCCGUUGGGGAGAGAUGCUACCCCUUCCCGUUGGGGAGAGAUGCUACCCCUUCCCGUUGGGGAGAGAUGCUACCCCUUCCCGUUGGGGAGAGAUGCUACCCCUUCCCGUUGGGGAGAGAUGCUACCCCUUCCCGUUGGGGAGAGAUGCUACCCCUUCCCGUUGGGGAGAGAUGCUACCCCUUCCCGUUGGGGAGAGCUCUGGCAUUAUACAUUCUAUUUGUAUUUCAUCAGAAGUUAUUCUUCCGUAUGGUUUUGGUUCAGUCCUCAAGAAGAUUUCCCCCGUCCACUUCAUCUACAAAAGAUGGAAACUUUUUUGUUUUGGAGAGCAAACGUUUGCCAGAGAUACUGCUGCCUUAAAGGUGAA